rnacentral:lncRNA from 1 species
CUUCAAGGUAUGCAGAUUUUCUUAGAGAAGCAUUGAAUGUGGAUGAGUUUCCCCUACCAUGAGGUAAAGCUCAGGUCUCCUUCUGAGGUAAAGCCCUAAGAUAGGGUGAACUGAAAAGUUCCAACAUCUAUCUCUGGGUAUAUUUUCACAGACGGCUUAAAUUUCCCCUUUUCACAAUCUCAGUUAGAUGCUGGAAUCCCAGAUGGAGAUAACGUUCUAGCAAGUUCAAAGUGAAGGUCCUAUCAGACUCUUUUAUAUGCAUGAGCCUCCAAAUUAUUUGAUUUAGUACUUCUUUGUGCAAGAAGGAGUCAUCCAGGAAUACUUAAAAUCUUAGUCUGUAGGGAAACCUGCUUUACUUGGAGUUGAGAGUGAACUAAUCACUCAUGAGAAUUCCUGUAAUGUCUUAGAUCAUAUAGCACACUAGUUAGUUUUAAAAUGGCUAUGCCAAAGAAUGUGUCCUGUGAGCCAUCAUAGUACAUGACAGCGUUCUUACUAAAUGUGAUCCAAUCCCCUAUUUAUUGAAAGUGACUGUGAUCAUUGUGAUACAGAAAGUACCAUUUUGCCAAGUAAGACUCAACUGAGGGUGACUGCUAAUAUCAAUUCAUAUAGAUUGUUUCACUUUUAAAACAGACUCUUUCCUCUAAUCAUGCCAAAGGAAGUGGCCUCUAAAGAAUUCGCUGAUUUACUGUGCCUAAUAAGACACAGCCUGGACAUUCUGUUCUUUCUUCCUCAUUUAAUCAGCAAGGUGACUAGGUGUUGGGCUUAAGGACCUCAUUUACAAAACCUCAAAGGCAGUAGUCUAUGUAUCAUCACAGAAGGGGACAAAGCCAGGUCCUAGUCACAAUUAAAAUAUGCGUGCCAUUCCUACAAGGCUUUUAUUGACAAAUAUUUUCUUAGACAGUGAGUUCAUUUUAAAAGGUUGCAACAAAAGCUUGCAUUGGUAAUCAUUAAAUGCUUUCAAUAGUAACUGAAAAACCUAUCCUUAGGGCUCCACAGAUGAUGUAAUGCACUCUCCUUUCAUUGAUGCCAGGAUAUCGGGUAGACAGUUUCUCUUGCUGGAUGGUAGCACUCUGAAAGUACUUCUUUCUUGAACAACUCUUGGUGUCAAUAAGCAGCCAUUGCUUUACUUUCCUGUACUUGUGGCAUGAAUUGCAAAGUGAGGUUCUGAGAAUACCAGUUCCAGUCUCUGAGAAUGAGUAUUUCUAAGGAGCCUACCCUAAAUCUGAAGCAUUGGGAUUAGUUUAACAGAUAUUUAUACACUGCUUAAUAUUCUCUUUGACACUAGGGCUACAAAAGCAAUAAGGAAGAUUUCCUGUCACUCAGAAGCUAAAGAUCCAACUGAGGAGAAAAAUGUAAACAAAGAUGUUGCUUUGAGGUAUCUUUUAUAAAACCCUUGAUGUAACCCAUGGAGGGUUCAGGAAAGGGCCCUGAUACUUCCACAUCAGAGGGCUGAUACCGGAGGUGGAUUCUAGCUGACUUACACUCUACCUUUGGAAGCUACAACAAGUUGGAUUUUGUGGGUAAAAUCUCUGGAUGAUGAAGUGAUCCUUAAAAUACUUAAAGAUUUUUAUCAGGAAAACACUUCCAAUAUUGAAAAUAUUAUCAAUGACCAUAUUUCAAAAGGUUGGGUAUCCUUUACAGCACACAUGGAAUCUCAGAUCACUGAGUACCAUGUCUACUUUCUGCAGGAUAGCCAUAUUCCUACAAGCGCUUUGUGCAGGAUGCAAUGCUUUAGGCUGUAUUUCCAAUCUUCCAGCCUCCUUGUAAUUCUUUCUUUUCUUUUAUUAUUACUUUUAAAAUUGUAUGUUUUAGAAGUAAUAAGCCAACUUGCUUACCAGUGAGUGUCUCUGGCACAUGGACAUUGUAAUUUCUUGAGAAAACUCUUGGCUAUGGUCCUUACAGCUUGUUCUAAUUAUGUAAUGGCUUUGGGGGGACUGGAACUGGAUGUGGUCUCUGAGGACAGGAUGAACCUGAGAAAUGAGCUAUAGUAGAUGCCUUUAGUUUGCUGGCUAAUCCCUAGGGGUGCCCUCUCAGGUUCCUAUGCAUCUUGCAACAGAAUUUGCCCAUAGAAAUAAGUGAAAAAAAUGAGGAAAGGGAAGGGAUGCAAAUUUCAAGGUGAACAUGGAAAAAUAAGCCACCCAGAUCCUACAAACAGUGCUGGGGAGAAAGCAUCUGUGUCAUCAUCUCAAAAGCAGGAUCGUCUUGGCAAGGGGCAGGAGGUAGAAGACUGCAAAGGUUUAAAUAGUAGACUUGCUUUUAGGGCCCAAACAUGGGAAAGAUGUGAUUCAAAACUCUGCAUACAGCAAAGCCAUGUUUAGGCUCAAAUUUCACCAAUCACUACACACGUGAC